GAGUCAUUCCCCCAAAUCCCAGAGGGGGAAGGAUCUUUUUUGCUUUUUUUUUCCUUGCAAUUCUCCCCUUCCCUUUCUUGCUUUUUUUUCCCCUUGAAGUUCUUCCCUCUCUCUUUUCUUGUUUUUUUUUUCUUGCAGUUCUUCCUUUCUCCUUUCUUGCUUUUUUCCUUGCAUGUCUUCCCUUUCUCAUUUCUUGUUAUUUUUUCCUUGCAGUUCUCCCCAUGCCUUUCUUGCCUUUUUUCCUUGCAGUUCUUCUGUUCCCUUUCUUCUUUCUUGCUUUUUUUUUUUCUUUCAGUUCUUCCUUUCUCCUUUCUUGCUUUUUUCCAUGUAGUUCUCUCCUUUCCUUUCUUGCUUUUUCCCCCUUCAGUUCUCCCCUUCCCUUUCUUCUUUCUUCCUUUUUUUCCCCUUGCAGUUCUUCCCUUUCUCCUUUCUUGCUUUUUUCCUUGCAGUUCUUCCCUUUCUUUUUUCUUCCUUUUUUUUCCCUUGCAGUUCUUCUUUUCUUGCUUUUUUUUCCUUGCAGUUCUUCCCUUCCAUUUCUCCUUUCUUGCUUUUUUCACCUUGCAGUUCUUCCCUUUCUUCUUUCUUGCUUUUUUCACCUUGCAAUUCUGCCUUUCUCCUUUCUUGUUAUUUUUUCCUUUCAGUUCCUCCUUUUUCCUUUCUUGCUUUUUUCCAUGUAGUUCUCUCCUUCCCUUUCUUGCUUUUUCCCUCUUCAGUUCUCCCCUUCCCUUUCUCCUUUCUUGUUAUUUUUUCCUUGCAGUUCUCCCCUUCCCUUUCUCCUUUCUUGUAAUUUUUUCCUUACAGUUCUUCCCUUUCUCCUUUCUUGCUUUUUUCCUUGCAUUUCUUCCCUUCCCUUUAUUCUUUUCUGCUUUUUAUCCCUUGCAGUUCUUCCCUUCCCUUUCUCCUUUUUCCCUUUUUUUCCUUGCAGUUCUUCCCUUUCUUCUUUCUUCCUUUUUUUUCCCUUGCAGUUCUUCCCUUUCUCCUUUCUUGCCUUUUUUCCCUUGCAGUUCUCCCCAUGCCUUUCUUGCUAUUUUUCCUUGCAGUUCUUCCGUUCCCUUUCUUCUUUCUUGCUUUUUUUUUUUUCUUUCAGUUCUUCCUUUCUCCUUUCUUGGUUUUUUCCAUGUAGUUCUCUCCUUCCCUUUCUUGCUUUUUUUCCCCUUCAGUUCUCCCCUUCCCUUUCUCCUUUCUUGCUUUUUUCCUUACAGUUCUUCCUUUCUUCUUUCUUCCUUUUUUUCCCCUUGCAGUUCUUCCCUUUCUCCUUUCUUGUUUUUUUCCUUGCGGUUCUUCCCUUUCUUUUUUCUUCCUUUUUUUUUCCUUGCAGUUCUUCUUUUCUUGCUUUUUUUUUUCCUUGCAGUUCUUCCCUUCCCUUUCUUCUUUCUUGCCUUUUUUCUUUGCAGUUCUUCCCUUCCCUUUCUCCUUUUUCCCUUUUUUUCCUUGCAGUUCUUCCCUUUCUUCUUUCUUCCUUUUUUUCCCCUUGUAGUUCUUCCCUUUUCCCUUUCUUGCUUUUUUUUCCCUUGCAGUUCUCCCCUUCCCUUUCUUGUUUUUUCCCCCUGCAGUUCUCCCCUUCUUCAGAACCUUUUGCAAGGGGAAAUCCCUUCCCUGAGUUUCCUCCAGCACAUCCCUCAUUUUUCCCCGAGACCCAACGCUGAUGUCAAACCCUGGCUGUGAUUUGGAGUCCCCAUCCUGUUCAAUAAUAAUUUCACCAAUUAUUUUCACCCCACCCAGAGCAGGGUGAGGUGUCACCUCUGUCCCACCGAGGAGGAGAAGGGAGGAAUUUCUGCUCCCCAUCUUUGCCACCGGGAAAUCAAUUUUUCCCAGAAGAGAUAAAAGGAUUUAAGUGGGAUGAACCAACAGGAGGGGCCAGCAGGCUCCUCGGAGCCAACCCCACAAAAACCCCAUUUCCUGGCACGUAAAACCCUUUGGAAAGCUUUGCUAAUUGGGUCACUCAUUUACAUGAGCCUUCAGGGUGGGAGGAAGGAAGGACUCAAUGAGAGUAAUUAGUGUAAUGAUGAUGGUGAGUUAAGAGCUGACCCCACCAUCGAUCCGGGCACGGAUUCCCGGUGUUGUCUCCCACAACAAGCCAGAAAUGAGCAGCCAGGCCAGGGAAACAGCGUCUGAGCUCCUCAUCCCAUUAAAUAUUUGAUGGGAAUAAAAGCUGAGGCUGGGGAAGGAUGCGAUUCA
ensembl:lncRNA